CUCCAACCCAAUGUGAACGUUACCAAACAGUUGCCUCGGCGGGGUCACGCCCCGGGUGCGUAAAAGCCCCGGAACCAGGCGCCCGCCGGAGGAACCAACCAAACUCUUUCUGUAGUCCCCUCGCGGACGUAUUUCUUACAGCUCUGAGCAAAAAUUCAAAAUGAAUCAAAACUUUCAACAACGGAUCUCUUGGUUCUGGCAUCGAUGAAGAACGCAGCGAAAUGCGAUAAGUAAUGUGAAUUGCAGAAUUCAGUGAAUCAUCGAAUCUUUGAACGCACAUUGCGCCCGCCAGUAUUCUGGCGGGCAUGCCUGUCCGAGCGUCAUUUCAACCCUCGAACCCCUCCGGGGGAUCGGCGUUGGGGAUCGGGACCCCUCACCGGGUGCCGGCCCUGAAAUACAGUGGCGGUCUCGCCGCAGCCUCUCCUGCGCAGUAGUUUGCACAACUCGCACCGGGAGCGCGGCGCGUCCACGUCCGUAAAACACCCAACUUCUGAAAUGUUGACCUCGGAUCAGGUAGGAAUACCCGCUGAACUUAAGCAUAUCAAUAAGCGGAGGAA
rnacentral:rRNA from 1 species